UUGGAGGGCAAGUCUGGUGCCAGCAGCCGCGGUAAUUCCAGCUCCAAUAGCGUAUAUUAAAGUUGUUGCAGUUAAAAAGCUCGUAGUUGAAUUUCGGGAUCAAUAUAUUGGUCGUGCCUCCGGUAUGCACUGGUAUUAUUGAUUUCUACCUUCUGACGAACUAUGAUGUCAUUAAUUUGGUGUCAUGGGGAAUCAGGACUGUUACUUUGAAAAAAUUAGAGUGUUUAAAGCAGGCACACGCUUGAAUACAUUAGCAUGGAAUAAUGAAAUAGGACGUUUGACCCUAUUUUGUUGGUUUCUAGGAUCGACGUAAUGAUUAAUAGGGAUAGUUGGGGGCAUUAGUAUUCAAUUGUCAGAGGUGAAAUUCUUGGAUUUAUUGAAGACUAACUACUGCGAAAGCAUUUGCCAAGGAUGUUUUCAUUAAUCAAGAACGAAAGUUAGGGGAUCGAAGACGAUCAGAUACCGUCGUAGUCUUAACCAUAAACUAUGCCGACUAGGGAUCGGAUGAUGUUAAUUUUUUAAUGACUCAUUCGGCGCCUUACGGGAAAC
rnacentral:rRNA from 1 species